rnacentral:rRNA from 1 species
UACGGAGGGUGCAAGCGUUAUCCGGAUUCACUGGGUUUAAAGGGUGCGUAGGCGGGUAAGUAAGUCCGUGGUGAAAUCUCUGAGCUUAACUCUGAAACUGCCGUGGAUACUAUUUGCCUUGAAUAUUGUGGAGGUGAGCGGAAUAUGUCAUGUAGCGGUGAAAUGCUUAGAUAUGACAUAGAACACCAAUUGCGAAGGCAGCUCACUACACAAUCAUUGACGCUGAGGCACGAAAGCGUGGGGAUCAAACAGG